rnacentral:rRNA from 1 species
GAUGAACGCUGGCGGCGUGCCUAAUACAUGCAAGUCGAGCGAAUGGAUUAAGAGCUUGCUCUUAUGAAGUUAGCGGCGGACGGGUGAGUAACACGUGGGUAACCUGCCCAUAAGACUGGGAUAACUCCGGGAAACCGGGGCUAAUACCGGAUAAAAUUUUGAACCGCAUGGUUCGAAAUUGAAAGGCGGCUUCGGCUGUCACCUAUGGAUGGACCCGUGUUGCAUUAGCUAGUUGGUGAGGUAACGGCUCACCAAGGCAACGAUGCGUAGCCGACCUGAGAGUGUGAUCGGCCACACUGGGACUGAGACACGGCCCAGACUCCUACGGGAGGCAGCAGUAGGGAAUCUUCCGCAAUGGACGAAAGUCUGACGGAGCAACGCCGCGUGAGUGAUGAAGGCUUUCGGGUCGUAAAACUCUGUUGUUAGGGAAGAACAAGUGCUAGUUGAAUAAGCUGGCACCUUGACGGUACCUAACCAGAAAGCCACGGCUAACUACGUGCCAGCCGCCGCCGUAA